AGGAUUAGGAGGGCGUGCACGCCAACCACACAUUUAAAAAGCCCCACCGGAGUCUCCGUAGAGCCGUUCUCACCCGCCAAUCACGAGGCGCGUUUUCUUUAGCCAGCGUCCUAAAUCUGACCAAUGACGAGCCUGAGGGGCGGGGCGAUCCUUGACGCAUGGAGGCUCGUGAUUGACGCAAGCCGUGUUGCUAAUUUUAGCCGCAGCCUGGCCGAAGGAGGCUGAGCGAGAUGCAAAGAGCUCAUUCAUUGAGCCGGGGCGGGCCCGACUCUUCCAGCGCUCCGGUUGCGAUCCGGCCAAGCCAAAUAUAGUCGUAGACAGGUAUUUUUAGCCCCGCAGCGUGGCCCGGUUUCAUUUGGCUAGGUGAUCCCCCCAGAAACGAGCCACGGGGCUAGCGAAGCGUCAGGCUAGUUUUACAGAGAGGAGAGGGAGCUGCCAGGAGGCAGAGUCCGGGGAAAGCCCGUAGGUCCGACGUCCAAAACCCGCCAGGUCUUCCAACCAGCGCUCUGAGCAGAUGGAGGCAUGUUGGAGGCAGGGCAAGGGAGAGCCGUCUUUACCGACUGUACACUCCACCUCCCUCUACUCCCCCAGCUUCUACUAGUUUCCUGGACGCUAAACCAACAACAGCCUUCCCCGCCGUGAGUCCAGAUGGAAGCUACUGCAGGAGAUAGGUGUAGGAGACUAUCUUCAUGUUCAGCCUGCAUGAAACACUCAGGGUGACCCGUUUGUCACGAGCGUGCCUGGCGAGUGGAGCGGAGGUAGGAUCCAAUCGCGGGGAGGAAGAAGGCGAACAGGUAGGUCCGUUUGACAUCUGUUUAUUAAGACACACGCUGGAACACUGAACAGAAGGGGUUUAAAUACACGAGGAGCGGGAGCUAUGGUGAUUGGGAAACAAGAGGCAGGUAGGAGCAAUUAACGGAGACACAGACUAAAACCUAAGAGAAGACAGGACAGGGUGUGACACCGUUAGAAUCAGAGAUUAUCAUUAAACACCGUGACAGGUUUCUCAGUGUUUUUAUUUUGCAUUUUAGUAAAAAAAUGCUAAUUGUUUUAAUCUAACCUUCCACAGUCUCUUAAACCUUCUUAAACUUAAAAACACAUCUUUACAAGCUUUAGCAGCUCCGCUCACACAGUGCAGUUGCACAUUUUUACAGGUUUUUUUUUUCCCUUGGCAAAACCUCGAUCCAAUGCAGCUGGUGCUUUUCUCUGUGGUCAUUUUAGUGAAUCUGUGGGAGUCGGGUGGGAGUGCAACUCCUCAAAUCAUGAAGAAACAAGUCUGUUUUUAAAUAUGUUGUACCGUCAAGGCACUUGGACUAAAAUCUGACUUCCAGCCCUGCGUAAAAAUAAGACAUGACGCUGUAACACCCUGUGAAUAUCUUACAUCAGCGCCGGGUUGUGUGUCAACACUGCAUUCCCACACUCCAAGUCAGCAAUUCCAAUCACAGGGAGCCGCGUGCGUAAAUACUUGCUUCUCAGCUAUGCACCCGAGCCAACGUCACGAGGGAUGUCCGGAUCUUCCUCUUUCACUGGAGGAAACCUUUCAUAUGAAAAGUACUGGGAGUGUCUUUCUCUGCGCACAGAUGGCAUCUGAGGCGAUAACAAAGGAUAAAAUGGGAAUUUCUUUUUUAGUCGUGCGCCCACGCAGCGAUUGCAAUAAACCAUGAUGCACAGAUUCACGCACCCAGGUUACAGUAACAAUGCAGGUGUCAGUUAUGAGGAAAAGAAAUAAGGAUGUCAGAGUUUAGAGGCAGUAAAUGAUAAAAGGUGGCGGCCGUCGUGCUGCUGCUCCACCAGACGGGCAACGGGAAAUAAAACAGCCAAAGCUUUCAGCUGGUCAGAGCUAACAAACUCACUUCUGCGUUUUCCCAUUUUUACUCCUAUAUAGGAUUAGAGGAUCGUUAAUAAUCUUAUAUAGGAUUAGAGGAUCGUUAAUAAUCUUAUAUAGGAUUAGAGGAUCGUUAAUAAUCUUCUAUAGGAUUAGAGGAUCGUUAAUAAUCUUCUAUAGGAUUAGAGGAUCGUUAAUAAUCUUCUAUAGGAUUAGAGGAUCGUUAAUAAUCUUCUAUAGGAUUAGAGGAUCGUUAAUAAUCUUCUAUAGGAUUAGAGGAUUGUUAAUAAUCUUCUAUAGGAUUAGAGGAU